AAAAAAAAAAAAAAAAAAAAAAAAAAAAAAACGGAGAGGAAACUCCCUCUCUUCGAUUCAGUGCAGAAUUUUUUGCAAGUUCCUUUCCUCGGCUCAGUACAGAAACCAAAAAAGUCUCCAUCUUCUCUCUGUCCUAGUCCCGAUCAGCAACCCAUCUUCUCUUUUCUUUAGUAGAUGCAGGAAAGCAAAGCCCUCAAACUCUUCAUUUCUUGGUUCUUCAUAGUAGAAAAAGAACAGAAAAUCUGCAGCAUCACUUCUUUUAAAAGCUGCAGAAAUUCCUUCUGUAAAAGUCCAUAGGCCUUACUCACUCUCAAAAGACGCCUUAGGAAAGGGGAUACUUAACACACCCCCUCACGUGUGGCACUAUUGUCCAAUCACGUGUAUUGCAUCAGAGCGGCAGCGGGAGGGAAGACCCAAUCCUCUCUCUAAGACGCCUUGAGCGAGGAGGAGUGUCCAUGGCUUAUAAAAUUUACAAGACAAGGAUCUCUUAGCAAUGUGGGACACUUUAACACGCCCCCUCACGUGUGGCAUUUUUGGCCAAACAUGUGUUCAACAACGGGAGGGAAAUGCCCAUCAUUGUCAAAGGAACCUGCUCUGAUACCAUGUAAAAGUCCAUAGGCCUUACUCACUCUCAAAAAACGCCUUAGAAAAGGGAAUACUUAAAACCUUCAAACUCCCUCUGUUCUUGUAGGCAAACCAGAAACUCUCGAUCUCUUCCUCUUGAGUUGCAUCAGAAAAGAAAAAAAAACCCAAAAGAAAGUAGAAGCAACAGCAGCUCUCCACCGGAGAAGGUCAACCUUGACGCUAAUGGCAAGUUCAGAUGACCCAGUAAGACGA